GACCAAAAUGGUCAGUUGACCCCUUUAGGAGUUAUUGCCCUUUAUAGUCAAUUUUUAACCAUUUUUCGUAAAUCUUAGUUAUCUUUUAGAAAAAUCUUCUCCUCUGAAACUACUGGGCCAAAUUAAACCAAACUUGGCCACAAUCAUCAUUGGGGUAUCUAGUUUAAAAAAUGUGUCCGGUGACCCGGCCAACCAACCAAGAUGGCCGCCAUGGCUAAAAAUAGAACAUAGGGGUAAAAUGCAGUUUUUGGCUUAUAACUCAA
rnacentral:lncRNA from 1 species